rnacentral:rRNA from 1 species
AGCUCCAAUAGCGUAUAUUAAAGUUGUUGCAGUUAAAAAGCUCGUAGUUGGACUUCUGCGAUGUUGCCAAUGCCCGCCAUGUUGUGUGCGCAGCGGCGACUUCGCAUCCUUCUGUUAACGCCUCUUGGCAUUCAUUUGCUGGUGGCGGGCUCAGAUAUUUUACCUUGAGAAAAUUAGAGUGUUUCAGGCAGGCUAGGCCGGAAUACAUUAGCAUGGAAUAAUGGAAUAGGACUAUAGUCUCUUUGUUGGUUUGAGGGACUGCAGUAAUGAUUAAUAGGGAUAGUUGGGGGCAUUAGUACUUAACUGUCAGAGGUGAAAUUCUUGGAUUUGUUGAAGACGAGCUACUGCGAAAGCAUUUGCCAAAGAUGUUCUCA